AUGCUUUUUAUGUGAGAAUGUUGGGUUGAUUAACUUGUUCUAUAUUGAUUGGCUGACUAUUCCAAUUAUUAAUUGCUGCAUAUAAAAAAGAAAGCUUAACAAAACUUUUUACCCUAGGAAAAACCAUUGAGUUUCUGACUUUAGUACCAUAACUAUGUUGAUUAUUAGUACUCUGGACUUGGUCAAAUAAAUAUGCUUGAGCACUUGAGCUGUGCCAUUAUUUAUAUUCAAGUAUUUGAUUUAAGCUAUUCGACUCUAACUUCCAUUAGACGCGUAUCAGCCUCCUUAUUUACUAACACCAAUAUGGAUUCUUGACGAAAUAUCUAUAAUAAACUGAAUAAUUUUAAUUUUAAAAAUCUGCAAUUUAUUCUUUUUUGUGUGUUUUACUAAGACCACUGUACAAUGAGCACACCAUACAUAAAAUUUCCUUGGGUCAGUGCAGAAAGUAUUAAGGCCAGGUCACACCUACACCGAUAACGAUACCGAUAUGAUAAAAAUUAUCGGUGUGGUGUAAAUUAAUGGAAGUGGUCACACUAUAACGAUAACGAUACGAUUAUCGUGAGCGAUAAAGUUAUCGUAUCGGUCGAAUCACUUUUGAAGCGAUUUUUUUUAUAGUUAUCGGCAACGAUAAACGUAUCAGCCAAUCAGAUGAGGGUAGUCAGGGAAGAUGAAAGUACUGUAGUCAACUUUCACACACACUACCGGUUGACCGAACUCGCGACGCGUGGACGAUCAAACUGAGCGCCUGAUGGAAGUUCAGACACUAUCUUGUAUAAUAAAUCAAAUGCUGAUUGUAAAAGUGUUAACCAAAAAAGAGACGUUUGGCAAGAAAUUUGCCGCAGAGUUGGAAUGAGUGGAGACUUAGCCCGAAAAAUGGGCAAACGUAUGGGAUACUUUCAACAGCUGCAGAAAGACGGCUUCCUCAAGGAGUUGCGAUGCUGCCAAAGUAAUAAAACAAUAUAGAUUUGCAGGAAUUUUGACAUUUCUUACGCCGUACUUACAACAUAAGGAGACUUCAAGUACCCUCGAUGUAGAACUAGCCAACACUGAAAUAAGUGACGAGGAAACUUACGACAGCAUUGUAGACAACAUAACAGAAGAAAGCUUUCGCUUUGAUUAUAAUGAUGAUGAUUACCACCAAUCGCAACAGCCCCAUGAGCAGCAACAACAACCACCACAGCUGAUGCAA